GAUGAACGCUAGCUACAGGCUUAACACAUGCAAGUCGAGGGGCAGCAUGAUUGAAGCUUGCUUCAAUCGAUGGCGACCGGCGCACGGGUGAGUAACACGUAUCCAACCUGCCGAUAACUCGGGGAUAGCCUUUCGAAAGAAAGAUUAAUACCCGAUAGUAUAGUAUUUCCGCAUGGUUUCACUAUUAAAGAACUUCGGUUAUCGAUGGGGAUGCGUUCCAUUAGAUAGUUGGCGGGGUAACGGCCCACCAAGUCAACGAUGGAUAGGGGUUCUGAGAGGAAGGUCCCCCACAUGGGAACUGAGACACGGUCCAAAGUCCUACGGGAGGCAGCAGUGAGGAAUAGUGGUCAAUGGACGAGAGUCUGAACCAGCCAAGUAGCGUGAAGGAUGACUGCGCUAUGGGUUGUAAACUUCUUUUAUACGGGAAUAAAGUGGAGUAUGCAUACUCCUUUGUAUGUACCGUAUGAAUAAGGAUCGGCUAACUCCGUG
rnacentral:rRNA from 1 species